rnacentral:lncRNA from 1 species
UGUUAAUCAAAACUGGUAAAUGUAUACUUGAAUGGUAAAUGUAUAUGAUUGUUGAAAAAGAUGAUCCAAUUCAAUAAGUAAACACCUUUAUAGCUGCAAUUCUUCAAAAUGAUCAAUAAUAACAUGCUGAGUUGAGCAUUGUUUGCUUCUAGAAGAACCUUAAGCGAUCUAACCAGAGUUACCCCUCCAAAUUUGGUCAAUUACGGGUCUAUGAAUGGUAGAUUCUCUUAAUUUUCUGAAUUCUUUAGAGCACAAAGUUCCAUAAUAAUAGCUAACUAAUUGAACGAUCUCAGUGGACCCAAUGAUUUGGGGGUGUAUUCUUGUGUUCUUUAGGUUUGAACGGUAUUGCAAUAACUUUGAACGAUUCUUACUAUUUUUCCCUUUUGAAGUCCUCUCCAAACUGUAAAUAAAACAAAGAAGGAUUAUCAAGACCCUUGUUUUGAAGUUCCCUUUUAAAGUCCUCCCCAAACUGUAAAUAAAAAAGAAAUCAUAGGUAUAUUAACAAAGAAGGAUUAUCAAGACCCUUUAAAACAUGCCCUUUUUCCAAAAAAAAAAAAAAAGACCCUUUUAAACAAUUUUGAUGUAUAGAUCGUGGACACCAGAGACUAUAUGUUUAUUUUAUCAAGGCUAAUUACCGUUGAGCGUACGUAACGAGUGGUAAAAUGCUUGUGUGGUGGUCUAACGCCUUGACGCAUUCUUCACGAGUCAUGCAGAGUAUAGCACGCAUCUCUCUAUCAUGUGUUAUUGAACCUAACAAAACCAACCACUAAUGGUGAGAAUUAUUACACCGAACAAAAGAUGCAUAAACUAUAUAUAUUGUAAAUGUAAUCAAAAUAUCAUACUCAUCAUCGGUAUAGGAAGAGUUGGGCAAUACUUGAAAAAGUUACAAUUAGUACAGUACUAGUUGGGAAAAAUCUGUAAAAUAACCAAAUUAUUCUUCAAAUUCGAAAACGAUGAUCAAUGAUGGAGAAAAAAGUUAUUUGGCAAUACCAGUCAAAGAUCCUGGAAAAUCCUCCUUGUGGGAAGAGCAUCCUUUGUGGAGGAUAAAGACCAAGGAUUUUUUCGUGACCGCUUCCACAAGUUUAUACGACGAUGAAAACACGUACAAUCAUCCGUAUGAAGGGAAGGUAUCCAUGAAAACUUUAUUUUAGUUUUUCUCCUUCAGGAUUCUAAGUAAGUGAGAGUAUGCGAGAGAAUGAGAAGAAAAUUCUAAGAGGCACGACUUAGUCAGAAA